rnacentral:rRNA from 1 species
AUGGCGACCGGCGCACGGGUGAGUAACGCGUAUCCAACCUGCCCUUUACUCCGGGAUAGUCUCCUGAAAGGGAGUUUAAUACCGGAUGUGUUUGUCUUUCCGCAUGGGAGCGACAAAUAAAGAUUAAUUGGUAAAGGAUGGGGAUGCGUCCCAUUAGCUUGUUGGCGGGGUAACGGCCCACCAAGGCGACGAUGGGUAGGGGUUCUGAGAGGAAGGUCCCCCACAUUGGAACUGAGACACGGUCCAAACUCCUACGGGAGGCAGCAGUGAGGAAUAUUGGUCAAUGGGCGGGAGCCUGAACCAGCCAAGUAGCGUGAAGGACGACGGCCCUACGGGUUGUAAACUUCUUUUAUAAGGGAAUAAAGUUCGCCACGUGUGGUGUUUUGUAUGUACCUUAUGAAUAAGCAUCGGCUAAUUCCGUGCCAGCAGCCGCGGUAAUACGGAAGAUGCGAGCGUUAUCCGGAUUUAUUGGGUUUAAAGGGAGCGUAGGCGGGCUUUUAAGUCAGCGGUCAAAUGUCGUGGCUCAACCAUGUCAAGCCGUUGAAACUGUAAGCCUUGAGUCUGCACAGGGCACAUGGAAUUCGUGGUGUAGCGGUGAAAUGCUUAGAUAUCACGAAGAACUCCGAUCGCGAAGGCAUUGUGCCGGGGCAUAACUGACGCUGAGGCUCGAAAGUGCGGGUAUCAAACAGGAUUAGAUACCCUGGUAGUCCGCACGGUAAACGAUGAAUGCUCGCUAUGGGCGAUAUAUUGUCCGUGGCCAAGCGAAAGCGUUAAGCAUUCCACCUGGGGAGUACGCCGGCAACGGUGAAACUCAAAGGAAUUGACGGGGGCCCGCACAAGCGGAGGAACAUGUGGUUUAAUUCGAUGAUACGCGAGGAACCUUACCCGGGCUUAAAUGGGAAAUGUCGUAUUUGGAAACAGAUAUUCUCUUCGGAGCGUUUGUCAAGGUGCUGCAUGGUUGUCGUCAGCUCGUGCCGUGAGGUGUCGGCUUAAGUGCCAUAACGAGCGCAACCCUUCUCCCCAGUUGCCAUCGGGUAAUGCCGGGCCCUCUGGGGACACUGCCAUCGUAAGAUGCGAGGAAGGUGGGGAUGACGUCAAA